CGGUUACACGCGAACUAAUAACCGUGACGCAUGAGCUUUUCAUAUAUAUCUUGUUUAUUGAUGAGACGUCAAAAGAAUACCCCCGGUACGGUUUGUGGUGGUUUGGUGAUGUACUUCACAUUUCAGCUGCCAAACCGAGCCAAGAGGUGGUGUUGUCUCCGGUUUGAGGCUUUGAAGACGCUUUGCCUGGAUCGUUUAAUUGAUAUGGUGCCUUUGACGUAACCCUGUCCUUUCUCUUAGCCAAGAACCGAUGGAGUGAAGCUCUUCUAGCAAUAGGAAGUUCUGUAAAAGAAAGGGGGUUUUUCUUUGUUAAUAUAUAUUCGGUUUAAAGUCACAUGGAAAUAUAAACAAAAAUAAGGUGAGAAAGAUUACCGCAUGCCAUUGCAGUUGAGGAGGAUUGAACUGGAUCUUGUGUUGUGAUUUUCAUGAGAUGAGGAAGUUGGUUUGGGAUAGGAGCGAUGUUACUUCUCAUCUCUGUUUGGUUAUUGGCUAGGUUAGUAGUGUAACCGGGCUGGAUGUUGUUGUUGACAUUAGAUGUGAAACCGGUGAAGGUAUUAGCGGUUCCUUUGCUCGCCAAGUCCAUCACUUCUUUGGCUUUCUCAGCAGAAAAGUCAUUGAACACAAUCACUUGCCCGCCGUAGAAUAUAGUCAACGGUGCAGUUUGAGGCUCUGGUCUCACAGGUCUAUUUCCAGAAACACAAUAAUUAGUCAAAGAGAUAACAAAUAAAGAUUAGCUUUGCAACAUCAGAUUUAUAUGUUUUAACAGAACAUACCUAGUAGUAGUAGUAGUAGCCUGUGUCAUUUUUAGGAUAUCUUCCUUGGGGAGAGAGGAGGAUGAGGAAGAAAAACUUGGUUGCCUAGGAAACAGAUUUUUUGGUUUAACAUCUUGGCCAAUGGAUUCCAUGUUGGAAGCUUCACAAGGGAAUAAGCUCAUGGUUGUUGUGGGCUGACGAGAGAUGAUGCCUGCAAGAUAUGAUCCAAAAAGGUAAGAUUUCUCUCUCCAAUAACUUUUAAUGACAAAUUUAGCAAUGUUUAAGUAUUCGACCAAACAUGGCAAAUAAAAUCGAUGGAAAUUGCCGAAAACAGAAAGCUAACCACUCUCAAACGAAACCAUACACGCAAGCUUAGCACAUACACUUGCAAGGCAAAGAAAAAACGUGUCUACUACGUAAACUAUAGAUUAAAACUCAAAAUUAAGAAUUUUUUUUUAACUCUAUAUUAGAUGCUAAAUCAUUUUCUCUGCCUAAUUCCGGUCAAAAGGAUCAGAGUGAACGAUAGAAAGGAUCUGGACGAAAGAAAAGGGGUUGCUUACCGUUGACCUCGGGCUUGCAUGACAUCCCUAAGCUGAGAUCUCCAAAGCUACCGUUCUCCUUCAGAUACUGACUCAAACGACUGCACGUCUGAGAGAAGCUCGGCUUCCUUGAAAAUCUCCGUGUAGCGGCGAAAUCAGAGGACUCCAUAGGACUCGACAUCGUUAUACAAACAAAAACCUUAGUAGAAACGAACCGAAACGAGUUUCUCCAAUAGCUCACGAUAUCUAAUCUUCUUCUUCUUCAAUUACUCUUCUAUUCUUCUUUCUCUUUUGUAAAUUGAGUUUGGUUGCUGAGUCUCCUCCUACCUCCCAAUAACAAGAGCAUAUAUAUAUUAAUAAAACUUUUAACUUUAUCUAAUUUUGAGCCCUUUUAAAACACGUGUUUUAUGUAUUGUCUCUUUUAAUAAAGAUUCGGAAUGUGUCUCGGUUCACUGUUCUCCACGUUCAACGCUUUCCGUUUUCUUUGAAUUUACAAUUGUAUCCCUCUUCACGAGGCUUGAGAUAUCUUAUUGGUUGUUAGCUGGCAGGACGAAGUCAAACAAACACCGAAUACUGUAAAUUUACUGUUGUGCCCAUGUAGUUAUUAGCGUUGUAACUUGCAAGUGAAAAAGAGAAUGUUGUAUUUGUUUUUUCUUUUUUUUUUGUAACACUUUGGUUUUUCUUUUUCAGAAACCGUUUUUGGUACACUUAGAUCACAUAAUUCGUGCAAAAUCAAGUCUAAGUGUAGGGUUUGUAAUAUCGUUUGAAGAUGGUCUACUAUGUUUUUUGUUUGUUUGUUAAGUUCAUUCAAGAUAAACAAGCUAGUUUCUAUCAUAACUCGUUCCGGCCAAAAAAAAAAUUGUAUGUAGUGGUAGAUUUAAUAGAUUAGAACGUAAAAAAUAGUGUUUCAAACCAUAAUUGAAAUCCGUCUUCAUACCAAUUAUCUCUUAUUAUUUUUUGAGAAAUAUCUCUCAUUUUUUAUACUGAGAAUAAUCUAAAAAAAACUAUUUCAAACCAUAUUUGAAGUCGGUCUUCGUACCAAUCAUCUCCCAUUUUUGUUUGAAAAAAUUAUAGUUUGAAACACUUGAUGAAAUCUCUUUCUAAUAAGAUGGACUUCGAAUAUUUUUUAUUAAAUUUAGAAAAAAAAACAUUAAGAAAAUAAAUGUGAAAUAAACACAUUAAGAUAUAAACAAGGCAAAACGCGUUAAAUGUCACCAGUCAAGCCUUUUGGCAUUUAGUAAAUGAUCUUCAUAAUAAACUGUACAAUCUUAUAAAUUGAUUACUCUCGAAACAUUUUCUAAAUAAUGUUGUUAACGCGUGAUUCAUGCAGAGAUACAAACAUUACAAACUAAUGUUUGUCAAUUAAGCAAACAAAAAAUACUAACAAAUAAAGUUUACGAGUCGUCGAUUGGUAAUUAGAUGCGUCAGAAAUUCAAGUUUGAAGUUAAUCCACAUGUCGACCGUCACAUUUGAUUAACGCCAUGAAUCAUAUAAUAAUUGUAUCGAAUAGUCAAAAGUUUAACACCUAGCAAGCGCAAGCGAGAUUGAUGUUCCCGUGCAUAAAAUCAAUAUUACAGGAUUGAUUUGAGACCCAAUCAGAUGGUCAUGCUUAUACUAAUUUAUGGCAAAUACGAGUAAUCCAUCCAUAUGCAAGGGUACUAUCGUAUAUAGCUGAAACACGUAAACGAACCAAAACCUUCACGGCGUUAACAAACUGUGAGUGGGUCCCAGGUGAAGCCAACUCCACCAUGGCACCAUCCACAUGUUCCGUCGACCACGUUUUUGUUAUUAUGCGUUUUGGAAAUAAUAAAAUAGUAAUAAAGCUAAAGAUGGAUAUUUAAAGAAAAAAGAAAAGCAAAUAAAUUAGAAUAUUACAAAACAAGGAGGAAUCUAGAAAGAAGGGGGUGGCAAGUGCACGUUGUCUGAACUAUUUCGACGUGACGCGUGUGCAACACUUGUUGGUUGUAAAGUACGCGUUAGAUUCUUAUUCAGUUAUUCUCCGCAAGUACAAAGGGUGUUGUAGGAGCUGUGUUACGCUGCAACGCGACCUAACAAAAGUCCAAAAGCCUUGUCACUAAUCAACCCUUAAUCUGAUCUGUUGAUUGCAUCUAGCCAUGUUAAUAUUAUUAUACUUUUUUCAGACAGGAAUAUAGGUGCGGUUUUCUUGUGUGCCAAUUAUCUUUUCUUUAUCAUAAUAUAAAUUUAUUGCGUAAUCAAUUUAAUACACAGCAAAGUAAUCAUGGAUUAAAUUUAGAAAAAUAUUCUAGGAUAGCACUAAAAAAAUUUUGGUCAUAAAUAUAGACUCUGAGAAUCAAAAUGACCAAAAUGUUUCAUUAAAGAUGUAAAUAUACAUUUAUACCUAUAAGGUUAACUAAUCCAAACCUUAGGGUUUAAAGUUAAGAGGUAGAGAUUUGGGAUUGAAAUUUAAAAUUUUAUAAAAUAAAAAAUAAAUAUUAAAAAUUUGAAAAUAAAAAUUUUAAAAAUAGUUUCAAAAAGUAUUUUCGAAUUACAAAAACAAAUUCAAAAAAAAAUUUAUAAAAAAAUUCGAAUUUGAAUACAUAUAAUCUAAAACUAUAACUUUUUUAAAAAAGAAUUUUUUUAAUUUUUUAAUUUUUAAUUUUUUAUAUAUCUAGAGUAUUAGGGUCAUUUUACCUAUUAAAUGAAUUGUUUUUUGUGAUCUAUUUUUGUGACCAAAAUUUGAAAAUUGUCUAUUUAAAAGAAUUACCUUUAAAUUUACGUAACUAAUUAAUAGUAUAGUAUAAUAAUAUAUAGUACAUAAAUCAAAACUAAGAAAAGUCUUCUUUUACAUAAUUGAUGGAAACUUUAUUAUAUGCCUCCAACCUCGCAUGAGUUAACUUAUUAACCAAAAACUCCGGGUAAGGGUCUCAUACUAGCAUGACAUACUAAUUUUUAAAUUACUGUCAUAGUUGCAAGACGAUUAGAUACAAAACUCAAUAUUUUUUUCAUUGAUCAUACAAACUUUAGUUGAUUGGUUAGAACUUAUACGAUUUGAAAUGUGGGCUAUGGGCCAACAAAAUUAGAUAAGAUUAGAUUAAACGUAAAAGAUAGUCAAACUCGUGGGAAAUGCGUGUAAGUGGUUGGGAAGGAAUACAGAUCGCGAGGCAACGUGUCGAUUUAUAUUUGUUUUUUACAUCUAUUCAUGCACCAUUUGAGUUUACCUUUAAUUCACGACUAUUGUUUAUUUUUAUUCUAUCAUAGUAUAGUGUUAUAGUACUUGUCGAUGAUAAACAAAAAGUUUGAAAAUUUAGUGUCUAAUAAUAUGUUGAUGCAAGCCUAUCUUUUCGUUUUAGGGUUUUGUUUAUUUAAUGGUAAGACCGUAAGAGAACACUUACAAAACUUACAUAGUUGACUUUUGCUAACCGUAGAUUCAUAAGCAGCCACGUUGUAUUUUGUAAUCGUAGAUUCUACGUAGCCACGUUGUAUACCUUUUAUCUGUUUUAAAAUACUGGCGUGCGGAACUAAGAAUACAUCUUUUGAAAACAGUAGUAUUGAAAAACAAUACGCACAUGAAAUUCGUAGAAACUAUCAAACAAUUGCACUGCAGUUUCAUUUGUUACAUGUAUAAAGUAACGCAUGCUGCAUGCGCAUGUUAGACUCUCAUUGCAAAAUAACAUUAAUAUAUAAAGAAAAAGAAAUAUCAAUACUAUAUAAUAGAGCAAACAAAAAUACAGUUGAUGAGACGCCCGCCACAUGGGUGGUUGCCUUUAAUGGAGUCGUCGGUGUUUUGCAGAAUAUAAUAAACCAAUACAUAAAUGUUAAAGUGAAACUGUGCUAAUUAACUUUGGUAGUGGGAACAUGCUUUUCAUGACAUUAAACAAACUAAGAUUGUUUCGUAGAUUAGUCGUCGGUGUUUGUACUCUUGUUCUUCAUGGAUGAAUAUGCCUACAACUGCUUGUCGACAGAGUAGACUCUGGACUGGAUUUGCAAAACCUGAUCCUAAGUGAACGUAUCUCCAAGCUCAUCAGAGUCAAAGAUACUUUUUGUAACGGCCCGAUUCCCCGACGUCCGACCGGGGUUACCGAAAGGGUAUUAUUAGACAAUCCUACGUGUUCUGUUACUGUUUCAAAGAGUUGACGGACGCAUAAACUUCUGCGAAAUACUGUCACACCCGUAUCCAUAUACUCAUACUUACAGUCAUGCGCACAUGAAAAUGAAAAGGGAGGAUAUGAGUAAAUUCUCUAAUACUUUCCCCAGAAAUCAAAAUUAUAUGAUUUUCGAGUUUUUUUCUAAACUAGAGGAAAAAUGACUUUUCAACCAUCUUUGUUUGUUUGUUUGUUUAAGGCUGUUGGUUUGAGGUUAAAGAGUAGUGCUCCGGAACGAAGAUUAAAAUUAAAACUAGCAAGUAGCAUUGUCCUCAACAAAGUUUUGUUGUUCUUAGAUCAUCUCCAAUGGUUAGCUUAAUUUUCAGUUUUAAAAAUAUAUUUUAUUUAAAAUGAAGCAAAAAAUGAAGCACAUUUCUUCCAAUGAUUUGUUUCAUUUCUUUCUUGUAAAAGAAAUAUUCCAAGUAUAUUUUAUGUCUAUUUUAUCAUUAAUUAUUAAUAACAUCUUAUACUUUUUCCAUAUUUAGUAAUUUUAUCCAAAUAUUUUGUUUUAACAAUAAUCUAACAUAAUUAUUAUUUAAUAUAAAUCAAACAUUAUCGUAUUAAAAUAUUACUACAUAACAUAAAUAAACAAACACAGAACACUAUUUUGUAAAAAAGAUGUCUUUUAUAUAUUUUUUUCUUUAAAUGAUUAAUAAAAUUAUUUAGAAUUAAAAUGUGAUAUUAUUUAUCUUCCAUUAUUUUUAAACGAAUUAAAGUUUUUAAAAUGAAUAUUCUCAUGCUUUUCAAUAUAAAUAUCGAAUUAGAUGAAUGUCAAUUUUUUUUAAAUUGAUUAGAUAAUAUUAACAUAUAUAAUUUAUUUCGGUAAAAAAUAGAAACAAAUAAAAAUUAUAGACCAAUUAUAAUUUAGAAAGUACAGCUUCAAAAAUGAAGCAAUGAACACUAUUGAAAUAAGAUUUGCUUCAAAAUAAAGCAAAAAGUGGAAAAUGAAACACCAUCGGAUAUCGACUUACAAACUCAGUAACAUACGAGACUAGUUCUGAGACAGGCCAGAGAAAGAGAAUUUAGACAGACAUGCUACAUUACCUAGCAAAAGACAGGCGCUAACAAGAAUUGAUCGCUAAUCAUAAACAGAUACAUACAAAUAUAUGAAGUUUCCUAAAGAUUAAAUAUUUGUAAAAUACGGUUACACGCGAACUAAUAACCGUGACGCAUGAGCUUUUCAUAUAUAUCUUGUUUAUUGAUGAGACGUCAAAAGAAUACCCCCGGUACGGUUUGUGGUGGUUUGGUGAUGUACUUCACAUUUCAGCUGCCAAACCGAGCCAAGAGGUGGUGUUGUCUCCGGUUUGAGGCUUUGAAGACGCUUUGCCUGGAUCGUUUAAUUGAUAUGGUGCCUUUGACGUAACCCUGUCCUUUCUCUUAGCCAAGAACCGAUGGAGUGAAGCUCUUCUAGCAAUAGGAAGUUCUGUAAAAGAAAG
rnacentral:lncRNA from 1 species